rnacentral:tRNA from 1 species
GGGCCGGUAGCUCAACGGUUAGAGCAGUCGACUCAUAAUCGAUAGGUCGCAGGUUCAACUCCUGUCCGGCCCA